rnacentral:tRNA from 1 species
GCCGGGUUGGCGGAAUCGGUAGACGCAGCGGUCCUAAACACCGCGGGGGCGAGGCCCCGUCCGGGUUCGAUCCCCGGGCCCGGUA